GGGUUGUGAGGUUAAGCGACUAAGCGUACACGGUGGAUGCCCUGGCAGUCAGAGGCGAUGAAGGACGUGCUAAUCUGCGAAAAGCGCCGGCGAGGUGAUAUGAACCUUUGACCCGGCGAUGUCCGAAUGGGGAAACCCAGUGUGAUUCGUCACACUAUCGUUAACUGAAUACAUAGGUUAACGAGGCGAACCGGGGGAACUGAAACAUCUAAGUACCCCGAGGAAAAGAAAUCAACCGAGAUUCCCCCAGUAGCGGCGAGCGAACGGGGAGCAGCCCAGAGUCUGAAUCAGCUUGUGUGUUAGUGGAAGCGUCUGGAAAGUCGCACGGUACAGGGUGACAGUCCCGUACACGAAAGCACACAGGUUGUGAACUCGAAGAGUAGGGCGGGACACGUGGUAUCCUGUCUGAAUAUGGGGGGACCAUCCUCCAAGGCUAAAUACUCCUGACUGACCGAUAGUGAACCAGUACCGUGAGGGAAAGGCGAAAAGAACCCCGGCGAGGGGAGUGAAAAAGAACCUGAAACCGUGUACGUACAAGCAGUGGGAGCACCUUCGUGGUGUGACUGCGUACCUUUUGUAUAAUGGGUCAGCGACUUAUAUUCUGUAGCAAGGUUAACCGUAUAGGGGAGCCGAAGGGAAACCGAGUCUUAACUGGGCGUUAAGUUGCAGGGUAUAGACCCGAAACCCGGUGAUCUAGCCAUGGGCAGGUUGAAGGUUGGGUAACACUAACUGGAGGACCGAACCGACUAAUGUUGAAAAAUUAGCGGAUGACUUGUGGCUGGGGGUGAAAGGCCAAUCAAACCGGGAGAUAGCUGGUUCUCCCCGAAAGCUAUUUAGGUAGCGCCUCGUGAACUCAUCUUCGGGGGUAGAGCACUGUUUCGGCUAGGGGGCCAUCCCGGCUUACCAACCCGAUGCAAACUACGAAUACCGAAGAAUGUUAUCACGGGAGACACACGGCGGGUGCUAACGUCCGUCGUGAAGAGGGAAACAACCCAGACCGCCAGCUAAGGUCCCAAAGUCAUGGUUAAGUGGGAAACGAUGUGGGAAGGCACAGACAGCCAGGAUGUUGGCUUAGAAGCAGCCAUCAUUUAAAGAAAGCGUAAUAGCUCACUGGUCGAGUCGGCCUGCGCGGAAGAUGUAACGGGGCUAAACCAUGCACCGAAGCUGCGGCAGCGACACUAUGUGUUGUUGGGUAGGGGAGCGUUCUGUAAGCCGUUGAAGGUGUGCUGUGAGGCAUGCUGGAGGUAUCAGAAGUGCGAAUGCUGACAUAAGUAACGAUAAAGCGGGUGAAAAGCCCGCUCGCCGGAAGACCAAGGGUUCCUGUCCAACGUUAAUCGGGGCAGGGUGAGUCGACCCCUAAGGCGAGGCCGAAAGGCGUAGUCGAUGGGAAACAGGUUAAUAUUCCUGUACUUGGUGUUACUGCGAAGGGGGGACGGAGAAGGCUAUGUUAGCCGGGCGACGGUUGUCCCGGUUUAAGCAUGUAGGCGGAACGAUUAGGUAAAUCCGGUCGUUUAUUAACGCUGAGGUGUGAUGACGAGGCACUACGGUGCUGAAGUAACAAAUGCCCUGCUUCCAGGAAAAGCCUCUAAGCAUCAGGUAACAUCAAAUCGUACCCCAAACCGACACAGGUGGUCAGGUAGAGAAUACCAAGGCGCUUGAGAGAACUCGGGUGAAGGAACUAGGCAAAAUGGUGCCGUAACUUCGGGAGAAGGCACGCUGAUAUGUAGGUGAAGCCCCUGCGGGUGGAGCUGAAAUCAGUCGAAGAUACCAGCUGGCUGCAACUGUUUAUUAAAAACACAGCACUGUGCAAACACGAAAGUGGACGUAUACGGUGUGACGCCUGCCCGGUGCCGGAAGGUUAAUUGAUGGGGUUAGCGGCAACGCGAAGCUCUUGAUCGAAGCCCCGGUAAACGGCGGCCGUAACUAUAACGGUCCUAAGGUAGCGAAAUUCCUUGUCGGGUAAGUUCCGACCUGCACGAAUGGCGUAAUGAUGGCCAGGCUGUCUCCACCCGAGACUCAGUGAAAUUGAACUCGCUGUGAAGAUGCAGUGUACCCGCGGCAAGACGGAAAGACCCCGUGAACCUUUACUAUAGCUUGACACUGAACACUGGUCCUUGAUGUGUAGGAUAGGUGGGAGGCUUUGAAGCGUGGACGCCAGUCUGCGUGGAGCCAACCUUGAAAUACCACCCUUUAAUGGCUGGUGUUCUAACGUAGACCCGUAAUCCGGGUUGCGGACAGUGUCUGGUGGGUAGUUUGACUGGGGCGGUCUCCUCCCAAAGAGUAACGGAGGAGCACGAAGGUUAGCUAAUCCUGGUCGGACAUCAGGAGGUUAGUGCAAUGGCAUAAGCUAGCUUGACUGCGAGAGUGACGGCUCGAGCAGGUGCGAAAGCAGGUCAUAGUGAUCCGGUGGUUCUGAAUGGAAGGGCCAUCGCUCAACGGAUAAAAGGUACUCCGGGGAUAACAGGCUGAUACCGCCCAAGAGUUCAUAUCGACGGCGGUGUUUGGCACCUCGAUGUCGGCUCAUCACAUCCUGGGGCUGAAGUAGGUCCCAAGGGUAUGGCUGUUCGCCAUUUAAAGUGGUACGCGAGCUGGGUUUAGAACGUCGUGAGACAGUUCGGUCCCUAUCUGCCGUGGGCGCUGGAGAAUUGAGGGGGGCUGCUCCUAGUACGAGAGGACCGGAGUGGACGCAUCACUGGUGUUCGGGUUGUCAUGCCAAUGGCACUGCCCGGUAGCUAAAUGCGGAAAAGAUAAGUGCUGAAAGCAUCUAAGCACGAAACUUGCCCCGAGAUGAGUUCUCCCUGACCCUUUAAGGGUCCUGAAGGAACGUUGAAGACUACGACGUUGAUAGGUCGGGUGUGUAAGCGCAGCGAUGCGUUGAGCUAACCGAUACUAAUGAACCGUGAGGCUUAACCUUACAACGCCGAAGGUGUUU
rnacentral:rRNA from 1 species